ACAUAGUAACAUCGCGGAUCCCAAACGCGACAGACGUCUUUGUGUCAUGAAACCACGUGUUUCGUAUCUCGCCACAGUAAACAAAACCGCGAGUGGUAAUAAUUCAUAGUGAUCCUCAAAAGAACCGAGUUGUAUUCUCGACUUGGAAGUGGUUAAUACCCGUGAUUGCCACUUUUUAUAACCAUUUAAUUUAACAUUGUAACUGUGAUACCUUAGUAAGCAAGUUCGCGGAACAAUGAACAAGUAAAAACCUCAAGAUGCUUGCUGCAGUGACUAUUGUGACGGUAUUUAUUGGAAGUACAAUCGCUUUUGGACUCGACGUAUGCGAUGUUAAGAACAGUGUGGACUUAAGUUCGGGCACUCGGAUGUCUAAUGGAGAUAUUCACUUCAAUGGUAUACAGUACGAAGAAAAAGAUUACUACUUCGAUAACAUUACAGGAGUUGAAAGAGGUUGUAUUUGCUCAAAGCAAUUAUGUAUAAGAAAAUGCUGUCCUCACGGUCAAGCAUUUGAUAUUAAUAAAAAAGUUUGUACGGACACUGCAGCUGCAUUCGAUCCUCCUAUAUGGAAUAGUCAUAAAGUACUCCAAGGCGUGAAGGCUGCUGAACUGUUUCAUUAUGUGUACGGAACCCCGAUAUGUGUGAAUGAUACAGUCAGGAUCCGCGUCAAAAAAAUAACAAAUAAUAUUCACCUGAAAAACGAUGGAAGAUUGUUCAUCGAGCUGUCUAACUCAAUACCGCCGUAUACUCUGCGAGAACCCGACAAGUACUGCAUCGAUACGUUUGUCUCCGAAGAUGUAAAUGGGGUGAAAAAGUCCCAAGUCGAUGCGCUGGUCUGUUUCGCCGACGAAGCUGGAGGGCAUCAUUAUGCUUUGAGCAGCUCAUGUAUGUUAAUUUCCUGCGUGUUCAUCCUGGCGACGGUGGGGGUCUACGCAUGGUUACCGGAACUGCGCAACUUGCACGGCAGGGUGCUGAUGGCAUACCUCCUGUGCUUGUUUGUGGCGUUUGCAUUUAUGGCCACCAUGCAGAUUCUGCUGCCGUUGAAGAUAAUCACCAGACCUUAUUGCAUUGCAAUGACGUUCAUCAUCUACUUCUCCUUGGAGUCGGCAUUCUUUUGGCUCAACGUGAUGUGUUUCGACAUCUGGUGGACUUUCAGUGGUAAACGUGGCAUUUCAUUCGAGAAGCUGUCUACCAAGGCCCGGUUUUACGCGUACGCUCUAUAUGCCUUUGGGAUACCAACAGCGCUGACAAUUCUGCUAGCAGCACUGGAGUUCUCCGACCUGCCGUUGCAUCCACUGCUACCUCAGUUGAGACAACAAGGCUGUUUUAUAUAUGGUAACGGAAGACUGAUAUACCUGUAUGGACCGCUAGUUGUGCUGUGCACAGCGAACCUGAUCUUUUUCAUACUGACAGCAGUGAAAAUCGCGCAGAUUAAGAAACAGACCUCCGUACUAAAGUCCAAAGAGAGCUCUACUCACGAUAGCCAGAGAAAUGACAAACAGAGAUUGUUCCUGUACAUCAAACUCUUCAUCGUGAUGGGUGUGAACUGGCUACUCGAGGUGAUCAGCGCACUGUACCCGGAGCUUGAUAACUUCUGGAGAUUCACCGACGCAUACAACGUUCUCAUAGGCCUGAUAAUAUUUAUAAUAUUCGUCUGCAAGAGGAAGAUAUUCAGACUUAUAAAGAAGAGGAUCAAAGACAAAUUUCAACGUCGUCAGAGUGAAGCUGGAAAUAUGACUGUAGUCAAUAAGAAUUUAACGCAUUGGAAACAAAAUCCGGAAAUUAGAACAAGUAUUGAGACGAUAAGAACAACAUGUGGCCACGAUUCUGAUAGUAUCAAGAACUUUAAAACAGCGCAUUUAUAAAUUAAUUGUAUACAUAAUAUAAAAAAAUAGCAAAAUAUUUUUCUUAGUUCUAUAAUUAUUUCGUUAUUUUAAUAUAUCGAAAUACUUUACAUUGUUAAAAUAAGAGUUAACAUAAUUAAUAAACAGAAAGCUUUAGAAGACAAUUUACCAAAAUAUGAGGUUAUUAUUACACGAGAAUAUGUCUAAAUAACUAUAGAAAAUAUAGAACACUUAGUGAAGAAUUUACACGAGAAAAUAAAGAUAACGAAAAAGGCGAAGAUAGUAUAUGAGAUGCAGUAUAAUAAAUAUAUUGCAUGAAAUAAGUUAUGACAAAAAAUCGAUAAUAGGCAUACCAAAUCCAUACAAUAUCCAUGUAUAAAUGUAAAUACUGCAGUCUGUGGUAUUUCAGAAAACUUAAUGAUUUAGAAAGUUCAAAAUCAGGAAAGAUGAACUGGAAAAUGAUGUCUAUGAAUCGAAUGUGGCUAUAACAUAUGCAUAUCACAAUUGAAACUAAGAAACAACUGGCGUUGUGACUAUAAGAUACAAGCAACUCCGAGGCGAACCAAUGUCCAGAACUCAGACAACGAUGUCCUCUCGAACUGCAUCCACGAAGGAUGAUAUGCAAAUGAAUUCAAUCAAGUUUCACAGCAAGUGAAAAGAUGGAAAUUUAACUGGUUAAUAGUUUGUUUUUAUAGAACACAAUAAAAAAGGUGAACAAACAUAUGCUUAAUUCAACUACAAGGCAGUCUACUAAUGCCCAAUAGUAGAUAGUACGAAAAAAAAAUCUAUUACUUUACUGAAUGUUUCAAUUUGUCACUAAUCUCACUUGGAGAGUGUUCCUGUGACAAUUUUAAUAAAACUUGGUCAACUUUUUAUUAAGUUAUAUUGAAACAAACUAUAGUAAGAUAUAUUGACUUUAAUAAGAGACUAAUUAUGCCAUAUUCGUAUGUCGACUUGAGUUUUGAGAUGUUUUACAAUAAUAAAUUGUUAACAAGAGAAGAAAAUUAUUUUCGAUAAAAUCAAGUAAUGUAAAAUAAAUUCUUGGUUUCUAGUAAUUAAAUGCCACUUCGUUAAGAUCACUUAUUAUGUUGAUUAUCUACAGCUUAGACCUGAUGUUUUUAACAGGCGAUUAAGUAUUGUUAUAAUUAAAACUAUAUUAAAGUUAGAAAUCUAUUAAAAUUGUAAACAGUAAUAAAAUUUUUAUUUUCAAAAGUUUUGUAACUAAGCACACAUUGUAUUUUAAUUCCAAAAAUAAUGACAUUGAUUUACUUGUAUUCGAAAAGGUAUUCUUAAGAAAAAUACAUUUAAAUCAAUUAGGUUACUUUUAAAAUUGAAAUCGUUCUAAAAUUUCCUAUCUGCUUAAACUUAAGCUUAAGAAGUGGUAAUCUUCUUGUUCGGAUAAUCUGCUUAUUGUUUAUUGAAAUAUCUGUUGAAGUUUUACAUGUUAUUGGAUUUUUCGUUGUAGUUAUAAUCUAUUGUUAGACAUUACAAAUGAAUUGUAAUAAAAAUACUCAUUAUAUUAUCAUGACGUUCGAUGUUAAGUACUUUAAAUUUGAUGCUUAUAUUAAUUACAUUUUCUAGUAUUAUUAUUAAUAAAUUAAAUGAAAUGACACAUUUUAAAAUACAUAUUGUAUUUAGGUACAUAAAUGUUUUUACUUCUACGGUGGCGGCACGUAUUUUUGAAUCUAUGUAGUUGAUGUUAUUUCUCUAAAACAAAUACAUUAAAUGUUUAUAAAUUUAUAUUUUACAUAAUAUUUACAAUUAUUAAAUUGUAAAUUGUUAAUUGUAAUUAUUAAAUUGUAAAUUCUUUUUAUAAAAUACUUUACAACAUACGUUAGUUUAAAAAAAUGGAGUUUGUGAAGUCAAUAACCUCAAUAAGUUGUAAUCAUAAGAUGAAAAUCUUUGUAUUAUUAUUUCUCAUUGGAUGCUAAGUCUUGGAUGGCAAUUGAAUAUUGAAUAACUUUAAGCCAAAUUAAAUAAAAACGUUCCAAAAAAUUUAACCACACAAACUCAAGAGAGAGACAGACUCAUCUUCGCAUUUACAUUACUAGUAUGUAUCAAAUGAAUGUCUAUAUAUAUACUACUUUAAAUUCGUGUAAUUUAUACUAAUUCGCCUUUAUAUGUACACUAGCUUUUACUCGUGUCUUCGUCCGCGUAACCGGGAUAUGUUUACUGAUCGGGUUAAAACUUAUUCUUCUCCAUCGCAUAUAGUACGUGUAUAUCAAAUUUCAUAGUGAUUGGUUAAGUCGUUAAGGCACUAUAAGGUAACAAACAAACACACUUUCACAUUUAUAAUAUUAAUAAGGAUAUAUUUUCAUGUGUAAUUAAUAUUUAAAUCUAUAAAUUGUAAUAAUACGAAUAAUCGUAUCUACCUCUUUAAGGAACAAGUGAUUGUAUGUCUCAGCUUACUUGUAUUGCUGCAAAAUAUUUGUGUACUUGUAUGUGUGAUAAUAUCUUAUAAUAAGACAUAUGUAUGUGUUAUAAAAUAAGAGAUUUUAACAAAAUACAUUUAUUUUUUAAUAAUUGCAAAAGGGACCACUUAUGUCGUAGACGGUCAAGAAAAAAAGCUUUGUACUUUACUGAGAUCACAAAUUAAGCAUUCAAACUAUAUCGACUCGUUUGAGUUAUUAAACUGUAUUUGUGGUUUCUAUUCUAUUAUUAGAAAUUCAACGCCUGCUAAGGUAUGGAUUAACAAAAUAAACAGAAGAAAGUGUUGACUUCAAUCUUGGAGUAAUCAGUUAUUCCGUUUUUAAAACCAGAAUAAAAGCAUAACCGUUCAGAAAGCAAAAUAAAUUUCUAAAUCAGUUUUUAAAUGAUAGAGGUCUGAGGUAAUAAACAUAAAAAUUACAACCGAAUUAGAAACCUCCUUUUUUUGUAGUUAGUUGAAAAUGGAACAAUUUCACAAUGAUGCAAUAUCUUUAACAGUAUGAUUAAGGAUCACGAAUUGAUCCCGAAACUAGUCGAGCUUUCUCGAACUAAUUAAACGUAAUUUAAACCGGUAGUUAUUAUAUUAAACUAUGAUUGUAGUUUGAAUGUUGCUUAUUUAUCUUCUAUAGAGUCCUUUUCUUUGUUCCUGAUGAGAAACUAUUAUUCUAUCAUUAAUAUAUAUAGAUAUAUAUUUCUACAAACGAUUUUUAAACACAUAAUGAUGUGAUGGCUUAAGAGGGACGGUGCUGUCCAUCCCUCAGUCUCCCCUAGUUGCCUUUUACAACUCCCACGGGAAAGGAAGGGGUGGCCUAUUCUAUGCCGGGGCACACACGGUAAUUUUAAUAUUAAAUAACUGAAAUUAAAUAAAAUCCCACAGAAAAAAUAAAUAGAAACAUAGAAAAAUUAUAAGGUUUCUUUUAAUGGGUAAAAAUGGAAUAGUAAUCCCGCUUGUGCUAACGGUAUACAUUAUCGGGCACCAGUGAAGGAUGACAGGUGAGAAUGAAAAGGCAGGUCAGUUAGCCUAUCGUGAUGGAUACACCUGGAAUUCUGCACGAUGGUUUCCAGGGGAGACCAUGUAGAAGUCUAUCUGACAGGGUAUAUUGCUAGCAAUGGAAUUUGUAGUCCGCAUUACUAACAACCCCUUUCCCCUCAGAGUAUAAGAUUAGGUACACUUUAUGUGAAAUUUGACAUUUAUCGUUUUACAAUUGCAUGUCAUUAAGUGUCCGCGAAAGGUAGCAUUGCCAUUGUCAACUUAUACGUAUAUAUUUUAAAUCCACUAUCGGGACUUAACGUAACCAAAAUUAUAGGAUCUAUAUAUAGGAAAGGUCAUUACUCAUUUCAAUAUCGCUCAUAUCGGUUGGAUACUAUUUUUGAAUAUGUAAAAAUCUGUUAUUAAAUUUUUUUUUUUUGGAUAACGGACUUUUUACGUAUUUAUUAUUGGACCAGUAUAUAGAUAUUGUAAGUAAAAUAUAUAAAUAUUGCUAUAUACUAUCUAACCCUUACGUUUUCUAUUUACCUAAAAUUUUCGUUAAGUCCCAAUAGUGUUUUAAAAUAUGUGUCAACAACUCGACAGUAGAAUAUUAACUAAGUUAUACGUAUUUCGUUCUUAAGUAUGCUUAAGUAUCCUUAAGCAUAACAGUUAUCUGUUAUUACGCAUUACCUAUGGUAUUACAUAAAAAUUAUAUAUACAUAAGAUUAACUUAACUAUCUAUUGGGUUAAUAAACGUUCAUUAUUCUGUUAAAUUUAACAUUUGUACAUUAUAUAUUUUGAUAUUUUGUAUGGGAUCAAUUUGAAAGUGAAAAUGAUCAAUUUCCUUUGGGAUAAAAAAAUAAUAAUAUAAAAAAAUACAACCGAAAUGAGAACCUUCUCUGUUUUUUAAGUCGAAUGCUCGACAUUGAAAAUUGUUAGCAAACGACGUGCAAAUGGUAAUUUUGAUGGAAUUACAUCCAAUUGCUAAUAAUCCAACUAUACAGUUUGAUUCAAUAGAACCCAAUGAAAAUGUAAACAAAUUAGUAAGUGACACGACCAUGAGACGAUGUAGUGAUGUCCAAUAAUAGUACAAAUCAAUAAUUGGUUAAUUAAUUUGAAAUUUCUAUUUGUUACUAAUUUCGUUUACAAAGUGUUCCUGUGAUGAUUUCAACAGAACUUGAUUAUGUUUUCAUUGAGUUGUAUUGAAACUAGUUAUAAAAGUAGUAAUGCUUACAUUAUACAUCACUAAAGAAUAUAAAGGUCUUAUAAAAAAAAAUUAAAACAUUGCCUAUCUAAACAGUGUUUUACAAAAUCGUGUUUAAGUGAUUAAACAUUAUUUAGUGUAAUGUUUCUUUUGUGCUACAAUCUACAUUACAUAUUAUUGUAAUAAAAUAUAUUUACAGAUUUAAUUUUGCAUAAGACAUUAUUUUGUUUAGAUGUAAACAGAUGUUAAACACCCCUUCUGGAAGACUUAUAAACACGUAUUAACACCUGUUUAUCGCUAGUUUAUCUUUCUUGUAAAACCGUAAGUAGUCAAGUAAGGUUUGUUUACACCAAUUUCUAUAAAAGGCAGAAGUACUACCUAAGUUUGUAUGGAAACAUUAUUUGAUAAUGAAUGUUCUAGUCGUAUAAAUAUAAUUAGCUAUCGAUGUACUGUUUAAAUGUUUAUAAUAAAGUAUUUAAAAAAAAUA